UACAUGUGACCCAGCUUCAUAGAUUACCUUCUAUAGAAGAAAAAAGGCACAGUUAAUUUCACCGACUGCUGGAUCAGAGGAAACAGUUAUUUCCCUGGAAGCCCAUCAUACAACUGUUUCUAUUUCCUACUGUCAUGGAGAAGUCAGCUUGCGUGCAUUUUGGCAGUUCACCAUAAAAUGAUGCACACAAAAUUAUAUCUCCAACCAUGAAAGGGUAAUGUAAGAUCAUAUUUUUGUAGACUUUCUUAAUUUUAAUGUGUUCAGUUAGAUUUCUGCAUGCUUUAUUGUGAAAACCUUAGUUUUAUAAUUAAACCAUAGUUUACAUGACUACUCGAUACAAUAAAACAGACCUAUGAAACCGUUUAAGUGUUACC
rnacentral:lncRNA from 1 species